rnacentral:rRNA from 1 species
UGCCGCGUGCAGGAUGAAUGCCCUAUGGGUUGUAAACUGCUUUUAUACAGGAAGAAACCUUUGUACGUGUACAAAGCUGACGGUACUGUAAGAAUAAGGAUCGGCUAACUCCGUGCCAGCAGCCGCGGUAAUACGGAGGAUCCAAGCGUUAUCCGGAAUUAUUGGGUUUAAAGGGUCCGUAGGUGGUUUAUUAAGUCAGAGGUGAAAUACUGCAGCUUAACUGUAGAACUGCCUUUGAAACUGAUAGACUUGAGUUAUUGUGAAGUAGUUAGAAUGUGUAGUGUAGCGGUGAAAUGCAUAGAUAUUACACAGAAUACCGAUUGCGAAGGCAGAUUACUAACAAUAUACUGACACUGAGGGACGAAAGCGUGGGUAGCGAACAGGAUUAGAUACCCUGGUAGUCCACGCCGUAAACGAUGGUCACUAGCUGUUUGAUGCACAUUGGUGUGUUGAGUGGCUAAGCGAAAGUGAUAAGUGACCCACCUGGGGAGUACGCUCGCAAGAGUGAAACUCAAAGGAAUUGACGGGGGCCCGCACAAGUGGUGGAGCAUGUGGUUUAAUUCGAUGAUACGCGAGGAACCUUACCAGGGCUUAAAUGUAAGUUGCAUAGGCCAGAAAUGAUCUUUUCUUCGGACCACUUACAAGGUGCUGCAUGGUUGUCGUCAGCUCGUGCCGUGAGGUGUCAGGUUAAGUCCUAUAACGAGCGCAACCCCUAUCGUUAGUUGCCAGCGGGUCAUGCCGGGAACUCUAAUGAGACUGCCGGUGCAAACCGAGAGGAAGGUGGGGAUGACGUCAAAUCAUCACGGCCCUUACGUCCUGGGCCACACACGUGCUACAAUGGCCGGUACAGAGAGCAGCCACUACGCGAGUAGGAGCGAAUCUUCAAAACCGGUCUCAGUUCGGAUCGCAGUCUGCAACUCGACUGCGUGAAGCUGGAAUCGCUAGUAAUCGGAUAUCAGCCAUGAUCCGGUGAAUACGUUCCCGGGCCUUGUACACACCGCCCGUCAAGCCAUGGAAGCUGGGAGUACCUGAAGUCGGUGACCGCAAGGAGCUGCCUAGGGUAAAACUAGUAACUGGGGCUAAGUCGUAACAAGGUAGCCGUACCGGAAGGUGCGGCUGGAACACCUCCUUUCU